rnacentral:rRNA from 1 species
UACGGAAGGCAGCAGUGGGGAAUAUUGCACAAUGGGCGCAAGCCUGAUGCAGCCAUGCCGCGUGUAUGAAGAAGGCCUUCGGGUUGUAAAGUACUUUCAGUCGUGAGGAAGGUGUUAAGGUUAAUAACCUUAGCAAUUGACGUUAGCGACAGAAGAAGCACCGGCUAACUCCGUGCCAGCAGCCGCGGUAAUACGGAGGGUGCGAGCGUUAAUCGGAAUUACUGGGCGUAAGGGCACGCAGGCGGUUAAUUAAGUUGGAUGUGAAAUCCCCGGGCUUAACCUGGGAAUGGCAUUCAAGACUGGUUAGCUAGAGUCUUGUAGAGGGGGUAGAAUUCCAUGUGUAGCGGUGAAAUGCGUAGAGAUGUGGAGGAAUACCGGGUGGCGAAGGCGGCCCCUGGGACAAAGACUGACGCUCAUGUGCGAAAGCGUGGGGAGCAAACAGGAUUAGAUACC